rnacentral:rRNA from 1 species
AGUGAACGCUGGCGGUAGGCCUAACACAUGCAAGUCGAACGGCAGCACAGUAAGAGCUUGCUCUUACGGGUGGCGAGUGGCGGACGGGUGAGGAAUACAUCGGAAUCUACUUUUUCGUGGGGGAUAACGUAGGGAAACUUACUCUAAUACCGCAUACGACCUACGGGUGAAAGCAGGGGAUCUUCGGACCUUGCGCGAUUGAAUGAGCCGAUGUCGGAUUAGCUAGUUGGCGGGGUAAAGGCCCACCAAGGCGACGAUCCGUAGCUGCUCUGAGAGGAUGAUCCGCCACACUGGAACUGAGACACGGUCCAGACUCCUACGGGAGGCAGCAGUGGGGAAUAUUGGACAAUGGGCGCAAGCCUGAUCCAGCCAUACCGCGUGGGUGAAGAAGGCCUUCGGGUUGUAAAGCCCUUUUGUUGGGAAAGAAAAGCAGCAGGUUAAUACCCCGCUGUUCUGACGGUACCCAAAGAAUAAGCACCGGCUAACUUCGUG